AUUGAACGCUGGCGGCAUGCCUUACACAUGCAAGUCGAACGGCAGCAUGGAGAGCUUGCUCUCUGAUGGCGAGUGGCGAACGGGUGAGUAAUGCAUCGGAACGUACCGUGUAAUGGGGGAUAACGUAGCGAAAGUUACGCUAAUACCGCAUACGACCUGAGGGUGAAAGCAGGGGAUCGCAAGACCUUGCGUUAUACGAGCGGCCGAUGUCAGAUUAGCUAGUUGGUGAGGUAAAGGCUCACCAAGGCGACGAUCUGUAGCGGGUCUGAGAGGAUGAUCCGCCACACUGGGACUGAGACACGGCCCAGACUCCUACGGGAGGCAGCAGUGGGGAAUUUUGGACAAUGGGGGAAACCCUGAUCCAGCCAUGCCGCGUGAGUGAAGAAGGCCUUCGGGUUGUAAAGCUCUUUCGGCCGGGAAGAAAUCGCACAGGCUAAUACUCUGUGUGGAUGACGGUACCGGCAUAAGAAGCACCGGCUAACUACGUGCCAGCAGCCGCGGUAA
rnacentral:rRNA from 1 species